GAUGAACGCUGGCGGCGUGCUUAACACAUGCAAGUCGAACGGUGAAAGAGAGCUUGCUCUCUGGAUCAGUGGCGAACGGGUGAGUAACACGUGAGCAAUCUGCCCCUGACUCUGGGAUAAGCGCUGGAAACGGCGUCUAAUACCGGAUACGAGCUGCGAAGGCAUCUUCAGCAGCUGGAAAGAACUUCGGUCAGGGAUGAGCUCGCGGCCUAUCAGCUAGUUGGUGAGGUAACGGCUCACCACGGCGUCGACGGGUAGCCGGCCUGAGAGGGUGACCGGCCACAAUGGGACUGAGACACGGCCCAGACUCCUACGGGAGGCAGCAGUGGGGAAUAUUGCACAAUGGGCGAAAGCCUGAUGCAGCAACGCCGCGUGAGGGACGACGGCCUUCGGGUUGUAAACCGCUUUUAGCAGGGAAGAAGCGAAAGUGACGGUACCUGCAGAAAAAGCACCGGCUAACUACGUG
rnacentral:rRNA from 1 species